rnacentral:rRNA from 1 species
AGCUACCAUGCAGUCGAGCGGUAGCACAGAGAGCUUGCUCUCGGGUGACGAGCGGCGGACGGGUGAGUAAUGUCUGGGAAACUGCCUGAUGGAGGGGGAUAACUACUGGAAACGGUAGCUAAUACCGCAUAACGUCGCAAGACCAAAGUGGGGGACCUUCGGGCCUCAUGCCAUCAGAUGUGCCCAGAUGGGAUUAGCUGGUAGGUGGGGUAACGGCUCACCUAGGCGACGAUCCCUAGCUGGUCUGAGAGGAUGACCAGCCACACUGGAACUGAGACACGGUCCAGACUCCUACGGGAGGCAGCAGUGGGGAAUAUUGCACAAUGGGCGCAAGCCUGAUGCAGCCAUGCCGCGUGUGUGAAGAAGGCCUUCGGGUUGUAAAGCACUUUCAGCGGGGAGGAAGGCGGUGAGGUUAAUAACCUCAUCGAUUGACGUUACCCGCAGAAGAAGCACCGGCUAACUCCGUGCCAGCAGCCGCGGUAAUACGGAGGGUGCAAGCGUUAAUCGGAAUUACUGGGCGUAAAGCGCACGCAGGCGGUCUGUCAAGUCGGAUGUGAAAUCCCCGGGCUCAACCUGGGAACUGCAUUCGAAACUGGCAGGCUAGAGUCUUGUAGAGGGGGGUAGAAUUCCAGGUGUAGCGGUGAAAUGCGUAGAGAUCUGGAGGAAUACCGGUGGCGAAGGCGGCCCCCUGGACAAAGACUGACGCUCAGGUGCGAAAGCGUGGGGAGCAAACAGGAUUAGAUACCCUGGUAGUCCACGCUGUAAACGAUGUCGAUUUGGAGGUUGUGCCCUUGAGGCGUGGCUUCCGGAGCUAACGCGUUAAAUCGACCGCCUGGGGAGUACGGCCGCAAGGUUAAAACUCAAAUGAAUUGACGGGGGCCCGCACAAGCGGUGGAGCAUGUGGUUUAAUUCGAUGCAACGCGAAGAACCUUACCUGGUCUUGACAUCCACAGAACUUUCCAGAGAUGGAUUGGUGCCUUCGGGAACUGUGAGACAGGUGCUGCAUGGCUGUCGUCAGCUCGUGUUGUGAAAUGUUGGGUUAAGUCCCGCAACGAGCGCAACCCUUAUCCUUUGUUGCCAGCGGUUAGGCCGGGAACUCAAAGGAGACUGCCAGUGAUAAACUGGAGGAAGGUGGGGAUGACGUCAAGUCAUCAUGGCCCUUACGACCAGGGCUACACACGUGCUACAAUGGCAUAUACAAAGAGAAGCGACCUCGCGAGAGCAAGCGGACCUCAUAAAGUAUGUCGUAGUCCGGAUUGGAGUCUGCAACUCGACUCCAUGAAGUCGGAAUCGCUAGUAAUCGUAGAUCAGAAUGCUACGGUGAAUACGUUCCCGGGCCUUGUACACACCGCCCGUCACACCAUGGGAGUGGGUUGCAAAAGAAGUAGGUAGCUUAACCUUCGGGAGGGCGCUACCAC